AUGUCAAAUCAUCAUGCCCUAUAUGUCCUGGGCUACACACGUACUACAAUGGUUGUAACAGAGGGAAGCAAAGCAGCGAUGCUAAGCAAAACCCAAAAAGCAACCUCAGUUCGGAUUGAAGGCUGAAAUUCGCCUUCAUGAAGCUGGAAUUGCUAGUAAUGGCAGGUCAGCAUACUGCCGUGAAUACGUUCCCGGUCCUU
rnacentral:rRNA from 1 species